rnacentral:misc_RNA from 1 species
UACGUAGGGUGCAAGCGUUAUCCGAAUUUACUGGGCGUAAAGCGUUUCGCAGGCGUUUUGGUAAGUCGCACUUCAAAGCCCGAGGCUUAACCUCGGAAAGGGGUGCGAUACUGCCAGAAUUGAGGAUUGUCGGGGUUACUGGAACUGUCGGUGUAGGGGUGAAAUCCGUUGAUAUCGACAGGAACGCCAAGGGCGAAGGCAAGUAACUAGGCAAUAUCUGACGCUCAUGAACGAAAGCUAGGGUAGCGAAAGGG